rnacentral:rRNA from 1 species
AUUGAACGCUGGCGGCAUGCCUUACACAUGCAAGUCGAACGGCAGCACGGGGCAACCUGGUGGCGAGUGGCGAACGGGUGAGUAAUGCAUCGGAACGUACCUUUCAGUGGGGGAUAACGUAGCGAAAGUUACGCUAAUACCGCAUAUUCUGUGAGCAGGAAAGCAGGGGAUCGAAAGACCUUGCGCUGAUUGAGCGGCCGAUGUCAGAUUAGCUAGUUGGUGGGGUAAAGGCUCACCAAGGCGACGAUCUGUAGCGGGUCUGAGAGGAUGAUCCGCCACACUGGAACUGAGACACGGUCCAGACUCCUACGGGAGGCAGCAGUGGGGAAUUUUGGACAAUGGGGGCAACCCUGAUCCAGCCAUGCCGCGUGAGUGAAGAAGGCCUUCGGGUUGUAAAGCUCUUUCGGCCGGGAAGAAAUCGCACGGGCUAAUACCCUGUGUGGACGACGGUACCGGAAUAAGAAGCACCGGCUAACUACGUGCCAGCAGCCGCCGUAAGAC